rnacentral:misc_RNA from 1 species
GAUGAAGAACGUAGCGAAAUGCGAUACGUAAUGUGAAUUGCAGAAUCCCGUGAACCAUCGAGUCUUUGAACGCAAGUUGCGCCUCAAGCCAUUAGGUUGAGGGCACGUCUGCCUGGGCGUCACAUAUCGUUGCCUGAUGCCAGUUUCCUCGUGAUGGGUGACUGUGCAGGGCGAAUGAUGGCUUCCCGUGAGCAUUGUUGCCUCAUGGUUGGUUGAAAAUUGAGUCCUUGGUAGGGAGCGCCGUGAUAGAUGGUGGUUGAGUGACGAACGAGACCCAAUCAUGUGAGACCCCUACCGAAUUUGGCCUUCAUGACCCACAUGCGUCUUUGGAACGCUCAUGACGAGACCUCAGGUCAGGCGGGGCUACCCGCUGAGUUUAAGCAUAUCAAUAAGCGGAGGA